UAUUCUUUUACUUCAUGGUUUGUAGCCUGAUCCACUAAAGAAGCUUUUUGUGAGUAUCACCAGAUUAGAUAAAUCCAUAAAUUAUGCAUUCAUUUUAUAUA